UUUUGGUUAAUCUGCACAAUUCUUCAUACAGUCUUAUCCUGCCUUCAUUUUAUGACUCCUCCCUCUAGCCUACUUUCCGUCUUACCCAUUUUCGGCCCAAUUACCUUAGAAAAAAAACAGACUAUCAUCAUUUGUGUGUACAUGUAUGUGUAUUUAUAUGUGUCAGGUUUUUUCCUUUGUGUCAUGUCAGCACAACCGCAAGACCCCAUAUCUUAGGUCCAAUGGCAAAUUCCAUCCAAAUCUGAAGGAUGGAGUACAUUAACACCCCAUGACCACCCUGUGAUUUGACAGCAGCGUAGUAACAGAUGUGCAUGUAGGUAACACAAGAUGAAGCCCGCUUAAGAUACACUCCUUGACACAGUAGUUCCACCAUUUCCAAUUCCCCAUGUGUAUUUUCUCUCUCCAGCUGCCUCUCAAUCUUCUUUAUUUUCUCACCCUACAAAGCUCAUCCAAGGAUGGACUUGCAAAUACCAAUACUUUAAAAAAACAAACAUGUAUGAUAUGCUGGAAAAGACAGCGAGUUUCUGAGAAACUUCAUGAACAGUGGUAGCAGGCAAACAAAAGAGUACUGGGAAAACCAAUGCUGCUCUUAGACAGGGCUGCCACAGCUCCCUCCUCCUCAUCCUUUGUCACUCGCCUUCUCUCUUCCCCUCAACCAGCCGUGGUGUUCUCACAACCAUUUCAGGAUCCACUGAAAACCAGCCCUGGCAAAAAGAUGCUUAAAAUCAGCCCAAAGAAACCCCUAUUCCAAUAUGUAGAACCACCAUGUUCUAAUACAUUAUAAUCUAUGCCAUAGAUAUGGCACACUGUAAAAUGCCCCAUAGCAGGAAAAGCUCUGGUUGGAACAUGCAACCAACCUAUGAGAUGCAAAUUCCCAGAAAAAACAAACUUCAUUCCUUCCAGCUCUCAUAAUUCCCCAAUGGAUUUUCUGAUGGUGGAAGUGUUAUGUUUUGCCACCUUAAUAGUUCCUCUACCCUAUUCAAAUCCUACUUUAAUGGCCAUACCCAAUUUUGGCUUAUUGCUUCUUAUUCUUUAAUCUACUUCUGUCGAAAAAUAAUAGGUAUUUCUAUAAAAAUCUGUAUAUUUUACAACAGAAUAAAUUAUGCAAUAUACAAAAGAAAGACGCUAGACUACAUGAAACAUCUUGUAAAAUGUUUUAGAGUAAAGAAGCAUGAAAAGGCUCCAACUUGUGGAAACCUGAAAUGCUUUAAGUACUUUAACAGGUGACACUUCCUUCUUUGAAACUUCAGAGUUCCAAAAUACAAUGACUCUUGCUCACCAACUUACCGUUUUUGACUUUAAAUAGUUUGUCCCUUUUGUUUCCAGUGACUGAACCAAAAUGUUAUUAAUGUAUUCACUGCAUAUUCUAAAGAAUGAUAUAUAUAUAUUUCCAUAUAAAAAACAGACUUCAAAGACAUCUACUUCUCAAGCUUUAAGAGAUCAAACUAGACAAAUCUGAAAUCUCAGGUUUUAUACUCAACAGUUCUUACAGUACAGUUGAGUAGAAGUACAAAAUGCAGACUAUCUGUUUUUACAGGGGUCAGUCAUAAUUCUUAAUUAUUCUAUCUACGUCCUCUGAAUACAGCAGAUAAACUAUCUUCUGCAAUAUUAUUCUCAAAAACUGGGGACUGCAGUAAACUGUUAGAAUGAGGACAUUUCUUGAAGUAUCUUCCAACACACUUAGGACAUCAGUCAUAAUAUUUACAUAUACUCAAGCACUUUAAAAUCUCAAGUUGUAUUAACCAGCUGUCAUCUUAGUGUCAAACUCCGGUCAUUUUAAUGUGAAAUAAGGGUCAGCACAUGACUUCAGCUAUUAUUAAAACAUUUCUUAGCUACUGAACUCCUAUUAAACUAUAAAUGCCAGUUUCCCACAGCAAGGCUUUUCUUGAGCCUCUUCUACACUACAUUUUAUUCAGAGUAAAAUAUCUGAAUCAAAGAAGACAAAAUGAAUACACUACAUCAACAUAAAUUAUUUACAUGCUAACCAUGUGGCUGACCAGACUGUAUAUAAUCAAGACAUUUUCACUUAGUAGUACAAACCUGGUCUGUGAUUGCUAGCUUUUAGGAAGUGAGGGUGAAUUUCUUUAGUCUGGGCAAUGCAGAAUUGCACUGAACUCCCACAGGCUCCUACAGAUUUAAAAAUCUGUGUGUCUAGGAUUCUUCACUGUACAGAAAGCACAGAAAAGCUCACUUUAUAGCACAAGAAAACAGCUGUGAAGACCGCACUAUUAAGACUGCACAUUGCAGACACAUUUGAAAUCUUUGUUUUUUUCAGGAGACCAUACACACAUAAACCCAAACUUGCCAAUUGCUGCUAAAAAAAAAAAAAAAAAAAAAAGGCUAUUAUCAACUUUCACUGGAUCGAGAAAUAAACAGAAAGUAUACCUUUACCAAUUAGAAUUUUACCAAACUCAGGUAUUAAUCGUAAAAAAACCACAAGAUUAGGUGUGUCAGCAUACAUAUAUUUUUUAAUAGCUUUUAUCCCCUUUUAAACUCCUCAGAAGAGCAUAAUCCAAAUGAAAACUGACAAAGUAUUGAAACUGGCAGACUAAAUACCAUGCUCAACAGAAGUUUACAGUAAAAGCCUUCCAUUCCAAACAGAAAAUUAACAACAAAUCACUCCC
rnacentral:lncRNA from 1 species